UACGUAGGGACCAAGCGUUGUUCGGAUUUACUGGGCGUAAAGGGCGCGUAGGCGGCAAAUUAAGUCAUCUGUGAAAUCUCCGAGCUUAACUCGGAACGGUCAGGUGAUACUGAUCUGCUAGAGUGCGGAAGGGGCAAUCGGAAUUCUUGGUGUAGCGGUGAAAUUCGUAGAUAUCGGGAGGAACACCGGUGGCGAAGGCGGCGACCUGGGUCGAGACUGACGCUGAGGCGCGAAAGCGUGGGGAGCAAACAGG
rnacentral:rRNA from 1 species